UACGUAGGGUGCGAGCGUUAAUCGGAAUUACUGGGCGUAAAGCGUGCGCAGGCGGUCUGUUAAGACCGAUGUGAAAUCCCCGGGCUUAACCUGGGAACUGCAUUGGUGACUGGCAGGCUUUGAGUGUGGCAGAGGGAGGUAGAAUUCCACGUGUAGCAGUGAAAUGCGUAGAGAUGUGGAGGAAUACCGAUGGCGAAGGCAGCCCCCUGGCUAACACUGACGCUCAUGCACGAAAGCGUGGGGAGCAAACAGG
rnacentral:rRNA from 1 species